CCCAAAUACUUUUAUUGAAAAUACAAAGAAAAUUGUAUAGCUUAGGCAAUAGAAUGAGGAACUGAAAACAUUGUAAGCCUUAAAUAUUUAAUUCGGAAUAUUCUGAGAGAGUUUACUAAUAAUUCUGGAAAAAAAUUGAAAAAAGGUUACACCCAAACACUGUCAGCCCACCAAGUAUAUCCCCAAAAAAGACAGGGUAUUCGAACGGCAACGCUUAGAGCAAAACUGAAACCACAGGCGCAAAUUGAAAGACAAUAAAUGCAGGCGGCGGGUGGUUUGAUGGUGUCCCCAGAUCCCGCCCAGACUUGUACGACAACAAUGGCAGUAAGCAAUGCGAACAAUCCGGGCAACCAGCUAACGAGCGGCCAGCAUGGCGUAUGAGUAACGGCGGCCGUUUGAUUGUCUGCAUGCAAAACAAAACAACAAACUGUGGGCAAACAAAUCGAAAGGCACGCCAAACUCCGGGGAAUAGCGGCAAAACAAAAGGCUCGUCGCUCGUCAGACGGAAAACAUCAUAAAUCCCCGAAAAUCUGACUGUGUUAUUCUUCGAAAGCCGAGCUCAUCAGCGGUUGGCAGUUUUGGCACGGGAUUGCCGUCGCACGCCUGCACACAUUGUCAGACACUUGAAUUGCCAGCCGGAAUCGUGGCUAAUCAGAGCAUUUUGCAGGAGUUUAGCGACAAAUGUCGCGACAUUGCCACGCCACUUCGAGGGCUCUUCAUCAGUUGGUUUUCAAUGGGAUUUGGCACAGAGAGAAUAAUUUGUAACUCAUUAAGGGCUAAAAUAAUAGAAAAUAUAUGAAAAUCUAUAUUUAA